GCCUCAGGUCUCAGCAGCAGGUAUCCUCUCCCUCUCUCUCCUCACCCCUGAUACUGAUCAUCCAUCAUCUCUCGCCAGUUAUUGAAAUUACUAACCUUCAUCAAGCCUAUCAUCUAAACUCCUCAUCAUCAUCCUCUCUCUUUCUCACAUUAAUCCUGACUUCUUUGACUCUCUAACUAAACAUAUCCUGCUAGGUCAUCUUCAUCUUCAUCAUUCACAACAAACGUUUAACUAAUCACAUUUAGACGUUUGUCUCAUCCUAAUGAUAAAUUUAUAUAUAUAAAAGUUUCAUGGAUAACUGAGUAUGAAAUUGAAACAAUUUUGAUAUCUUACCUGCUCAUCCUUUUUACACUACCUGUCAUCAUCAUCAAAUAACAACAUGAUUCAAUUAAAUUAAUUGAAUAUAUUAUCUUUGUACUUGUUGGAAGAUCUUAAACUGUUUCUAUCAAAAUCAUGAUGAUCAUCAAUUGAUUAUCAAAUGAACUGAAGGAUAAACAACACAUAUGAAACUUCAUCUUUUGCCGCUUUUCGGGAAAUUAACAACACAAAAUGUUACUCAAAACGUCAAGAAGAUGAUGCUAAUGAUGAUGAUAAAAAAGAUGAAAAGGAUGAAUAAGUUAAUCGCCUCUGGGCUUAAAUCAUCUUCUUUUUAUCUUCGUCAUAAUUGAAACUUGUGUUUCUUUAGAUGCCAUUGAUUUUUAAUCCCUCACAGUGGUCGCUGAACUUGAUUAAUCUUUAAUGAUAAUAAUAACCAAUCAACUCAAUCAAUCGUUAAUAUAAUAACAAUCUUUUGUUUCUAA